UUCAAUCACCACAAUUAUACUUCAUAUUAACAAGCAGCUUACAUAGAGUCGAUAUUGUUGAAGUUAAUUCUUUUCAUAUUUCUUGUAGUUUGUUAUGGAUUUCACUGUAGAUUAGUGAUCAGCCAUUGGUUCACUCAGAGUGUUUUGAAGUUUGAACCAUUUUGUCGAAGGAAAGGUUUAUAGUCCAGCACUGGCCUUGAUCUUGAUAAUUGGGGUUAUAAAACAUUUCUUUAUAAUGUUAAGGACUCAAGUGUAUAUAUCGUCUAUAACAUCUGCAACAAGCCCUGAUAGUAACAUGCAUCUGAGUUGAUUUUCAGAUCUCAUAUUUGCUAGUAUUCUAGCAUCUUGAAGAAGAUUGAUGCUCUCAAUUCUUGACUCAUAGCUCCUUUACCAUUAAUGUCUAGCAUCUAUUUGAGAAAAUAGAUAUGGGCUAUCAGAUAAGAGCAGGGCUCAGAAGUAAUUUACUUUGCAUAAAUCCAUCAUCCCCCAUUAGAAUUUAGAAGAAAAUAAUUGCCUGGCUGUCUAUCCAGCAUUCUUUCACAAUUGCCUUACUAGGGUGCUUAUCUGACCCUGUUUUGUACUGUCAGCUAAAUCUCCAUGAUUCAUUUUGUGGGUUAUUUGGAGAGGAUUCAAACUCUAGAACUCCAUGUGGAAGCUGGGAUGGAGGUGCCUUCUUCCACAUGCCUAUCUGCAUUACUGUCUUCCUUCAUGGGAAAGGGUAUCACUUUUACUAUGAUGAUGCUAGGGCAAAUCUAGAGCAUCUAAAAGAUUCUUCCGUUAACAUCAGAAUUUUUCGUUCUAGCAAGGUCUUCCAUCUUUAAUUGGAAACCAGAUCGAGUUUCUUAGAAGUAAUGUCCUUGAGGUUUCUAUUCUUAAAAUGCAUCUGUGAUUCUUACCUCUUAUACAACUAAAAGCAUUUUGGAAAAAAUGUCAACAACAAAUUCAUCUUGCAAACUCAUCAGUGUUUUCUGGUCAAGUCCUGGUCACAGCAAUUUGUUGGCCAAUCCUAUUGAAGGAUGAAACCGCAGGUUGUGGAUGGGCUCAAUUUUCAGCACUGCAAUCCAAAAUGCUACAUUUUGAAGACAGAUCUUGCAAGUUUGCCAAUUUAUGACCACUUUCCAUGCUUCUCUGCAGCAUGCCGACUGAACUAGGCUUGGGACCCUAGUAAAU